CGGGGCGCGAGGACGAUCGCGUCGCCGGGGCCCACGGCUCCAGGCGUCGAGGAAAGUCCGGGCUCCACAGAGCGCGAUGGUGGGUAACGCCCACUCGGGGAAACCCGCAGGCCAGUGCCACAGAAAGCAGACCGCCAGCGUGUGCGAGAGUUUUGCUCAUUGUCGCAAAGCAUCACAGCGCAGGUAAGGGUGAAACGGUGGUGUAAGAGACCACCAGCGCCCGGGGUGACCCGGGCGGCUCGGUAAACCCCAUUGGGAGCAAGGUCAUACAGGGUGCGUUUGAGGGCUGCUCGCCCGAUGCAUCCGGGUGGACCGCUAGACCCGCUCGGCAACGAGCGGGCGAGAUAGAUGAUCGUCACCGCGCACCGGGCAACCGCGCGCGGCACAGAACCCGGCUUACAUCGCGCCCCGUCCC
rnacentral:RNase_P_RNA from 1 species